ACUAUGUCACGCCUUGGUAAAUAUGAUGUUGAAAAAGGCUUCUGCGAGUAUGACAUUAGCCGCAUCCGAAGGGUGGAAAGCAUCCCAAAACACAAACUCGUGCCGAUCUUUGCACAGAUCUGAGUUGGUAUUCCAGCUCCGCCGGAAGCGUAAUUCACCCCUUUCAAGACAUGCUCGUCAGUUGGAGAUAGGGAUAGGAAUGGGGGCGGCGGUGGAAUCCCGAGCUUAGCAGCUGAAAUGGUGUACUAUUGCCCAGAUUAGUUUCUUCUAAGCUUAUAGGGUGAAGGCUUUAUGAUGUUCUGUAAGUUUGUAUUAAUUGUAAUAAUAAAAAGUAGAAUUAUAUUUUUUAGUAAAUAUCAUCGAAAUAUGAGUAAAUAUAUAUGAACCUUGAAAUGCUAGUAGGGUCAUUGGCCAUUAUUCUAAGAUGAUUUUUUUUUUUUGAAAAAUCUGGUAAGAAUUACAUGUAUUUAUGUAUUUGAACAUAUGCUUACAUAUAAUGUCACCGAUAGUCCUUCCGUUGGUGAACCUUCCAGUGGCUUUGCCAUCCUUGAAGUCGACGCCGUAGUGGGGAUAAUUGGACUUGGCAAGUGAGAGCGGGAGGUAGUUGUUGUUGCCUACUUCUGUCAAAGAAUCGCCGAAGAUGAAUGUGACGGGGGAUGAUGGCAAAGAGCCUACAAAGACCGCUGCAGUCGCCAGUAGUAAUGCUACAAAAUGCCUUACCACCAUUCUUGGCGUCUUUAAUAGGUUGGGAAACAAAAGUUUGUAAUUUGGAGUUGAUGAAAAUGGGAAUAAAUAUAUAGUGCGUGUUGAUGAUA